rnacentral:rRNA from 1 species
CGCGUAGGCUGUUUGAUAAGUCAGACGUGAAAUCCUUCGGCUCAACCGGAGAACUGCGUUUGAUACUGUUAGACUCGAGUCCCGGAGAGGGUGGCGGAAUUCCAGGUGUAGGAGUGAAAUCCGUAGAUAUCUGGAGGAACACCGGUGGCGAAGGCGGCCACCUGGACGGGUACUGACGCUGAGGCGCGAAAGCGUGGGGAGCAAACAGGAUUAGAUACCCUGGUAGUCCACGCGGUAAACGAUGGAUGCUAGGUGUCGGGGAGCGAUCUUCGGCGCCGCAGCUAACGCAUUAAGCAUCCCGCCUGGGGAGUACGGUCGCAAGGCUGAA